CAGGCUUGACACAUGCAAGUCGAGGGGCAGCAUGGUCUUAGCUUGCUAAGGCCGAUGGCGACCGGCGCACGGGUGAGUAACACGUAUCCAACCUGCCGUCUACUCUUGGACAGCCUUCUGAAAGGAAGAUUAAUACAAGAUGGCAUCAUGAGUCCGCAUGUUCACAUGAUUAAAGGUAUUCCGGUAGACGAUGGGGAUGCGUUCCAUUAGAUAGUAGGCGGGGUAACGGCCCACCUAGUCUUCGAUGGAUAGGGGUUCUGAGAGGAAGGUCCCCCACAUUGGAACUGAGACACGGUCCAAACUCCUACGGGAGGCAGCAGUGAGGAAUAUUGGUCAGUGGGCGAGAGCCUGAACCAGCCAAGUAGCGUGAAGGAUGACUGCCCUAUGGGUUGUAAACUUCUUUUAUAAAGGAAUAAAGUCGGGUAUGGAUACCCGUUUGCAUGUACUUUAUGAAUAAGGAUCGGCUAACUCCGUGCCAGCAGCCGCGGUAAUACGGAGGAUCCGAGCGUUAUCCGGAUUUAUUGGGUUUAAAGGGAGCGUAGAUGGAUGUUUAAGUCAGUUGUGAAAGUUUGCGGCUCAACCGUAAAAUUGCAGUUGAUACUGGAUAUCUUGAGUGCAGUUGAGGCAGGCGGAAUUCGUGGUGUAGCGGUGAAAUGCUUAGAUAUCACGAAGAACUCCGAUUGCGAAGGCAGCCUGCUAAGCUGCAACUGACAUUGAGGCUCGAAAGUGUGGGUAUCAAACAGGAUUAGAUACCCUGGUAGUCCACACGGUAAACGAUGAAUACUCGCUGUUUGCGAUAUACAGCAAGCGGCCAAGCGAAAGCGUUAAGUAUUCCACCUGGGGAGUACGCCGGCAACGGUGAAACUCAAAGGAAUUGACGGGGGCCCGCACAAGCGGAGGAACAUGUGGUUUAAUUCGAUGAUACGCGAGGAACCUUACCCGGGCUUAAAUUGCAGAUGAAUUACGGUGAAAGCCGUAAGCCGCAAGGCAUCUGUGAAGGUGCUGCAUGGUUGUCGUCAGCUCGUGCCGUGAGGUGUCGGCUUAAGUGCCAUAACGAGCGCAACCCUUGUUGUCAGUUACUAACAGGUUCCGCUGAGGACUCUGACAAGACUGCCAUCGUAAGAUGUGAGGAAGGUGGGGAUGACGUCAAAUCAGCACGGCCCUUACGUCCGGGGCUACACACGUGUUACAAUGGGGGGUACAGAGGGCCGCUACCACGCGAGUGGAUGCCAAUCCCAAAAACCUCUCUCAGUUCGGACUGGAGUCUGCAACCCGACUCCACGAAGCUGGAUUCGCUAGCAAUCGCGCAUCAGCCACGGCGCGGUGAAUACGUUCCCGGGCCUUGUACACACCGCCCGUCAAGCCAUGGGAGCCGGGGGUACCUGAAGUGCGUAACCGCGAGGAGCGCCCUAGGGUAAAACUGGUGACUGGGG
rnacentral:rRNA from 1 species